AGUGGGAGCAAUCCUGCGAGUACAGUGGCACACGGGUGAGUAACACGUGAACAACCUACCCUUGAGUGGGGAAUAACACCGCGUAAGCGGUGCUGAUACCGCACAACAUCUUUGGUUCGCAUGGACUGGAGAUCAAAUCCGCACGUUGCUUGAUCGAGGGGUUCGCGGCUGAUUACCUCGUUGGUGAGGUAACGGCCCACCAAGGCAACGAUCAGUUGCCGGCCUGAGAGGGUGAACGGCCACACCGGAACUGAGACACGGUCCAGACUCCUACGGGAGGCAGCAGUGGGGAAUUUUGCGCAUUGGGCGAAAGCCUGACGCAGCAACGCCGCGUGGAGGAUGAAGGCCUUCGGGUUGUAUACUCCUGUCGAUGGGGACUAAAGCCUAUCCUUAGGAUUGACUGUACCCGUUGAUGAAGCCACGGCUAAAUCCGUGCCACCAUCCGCGGUAAUACGGGGGUGGCAAGCGUUGUUCGGAAUUACUGGGCGUAAAGGGCGCGUAAGCCGCGAUUCAUGUCUCAUGUGAAAGCCCCGGGCUCGACUCGGGAAUUGCAUCAUGCAAUUCAAUUGUAUGAGUUUAGCAGGGGGUAGUGGAAUUCCCAGUGUAGCUGUUAAUUGAGUAGAUAUUGGGAGGAACACGUGCCGUGAAGGCUGAUACAUGGACAUGUAACUGACUCUGAGGCGGGAAAGCUAGGGGAGUGAACAGGAUUAGAUACCCUGGUAGUCCUAGCUGUAAACGAUGGGCACUUGGUGUUGGGGGUAUUGAGUCCCCCGGUGCCGGAGUUAACUCGUUAAGUGCCCCGC
rnacentral:rRNA from 1 species